rnacentral:rRNA from 1 species
GUGAGGAAUAUUGGACAAUGGGCGCAAGCCUGAUCCAGCCAUGCCGCGUGCAGGAAGACGCAUCUAUGGUGUGUAAACUGCUUUUGUACGGGAAGAAACACUCCCUCGUGAGGGAGCUUGACGGUACCGUAAGAAUAAGGAUCGGCUAACUCCGUGCCAGCAGCCGCGGUAAUACGGAGGAUCCAAGCGUUAUCCGGAAUCAUUGGGUUUAAAGGGUCCGUAGGCGGUUUAAUAAGUCAGUGGUGAAAGCCAAUCGCUCAACGAUGGAACGGCCAUUGAUACUGUUAGACUUGAAUUACAAGGAAGUAACUAGAAUAUGUAGUGUAGCGGUGAAAUGCUUAGAUAUUACAUGGAAUACCAAUUGCGAAGGCAGGUUACUACUUGUGGAUUGACGCUGAUGGACGAAAGCGUGGGGAGCGAACAGGAUUAGAUACCCCUGUAGUCC